CUCAACUCUUUGCUGGCCAGUUUGUCUCAUUAGUCAUAUUCUUCCCUGGAAACAGGAAAGGAGGGCAGAAGGAAAGAAGGAAGAGUUGGAGGAUACCGACUGAUAAGAAGGAAGAGAGGGAGGGAGGAAGUUUGUUUUCGUGACCAUUAUUAGAUUAGUCUAGUUUUACAAAUGGCCCGACUUAGUUUAGCCUUUCACUUGAAUGGGAUAUUCAAACUAACCUUGUGCUCCCAUCUAAAGGGUCAGUCUAAUUCACAUGAGAAAACACUCUGGGUUUGCCAGCUACUUGGUUAGCAACACUACCCUGUGUGCUUAUAUAGAUAAAGGUCUACUCCAAGGAAAACUGGAACUGCUUUGAGUCUUUGGGAGGACUCUAAAACAGCCCCACGGUCAUUUGACACAUUUGGAAUUUUAACAAAGAAAAGUUGAAAGCAAAGCAAAAGGAAAAGAAGUUUUCCAGGCAGACAGCAAAAUGGGCAAGAGAUUAAACCCUUUUCUGACCUCUCCCUAAAAGAUUCUGAUUCUACCAGGCGGUGGUAAACAAGGAAACUGUACAGCUUUAAUUUUAUGAACACUCCUAAGCAGUGGAACAAAGCACGAAUCUCUGAACAUCAUGUUUCCUUUGAUCCUCACCAAUGAGCAGAAACUUCUUAGCAAGUAUGUUAAAAUCCAGGUGACACAAUCUGUUGCUGCAGUAACUUCUCACAAUGUAUCAAAAGGCUAUAAAUCAAGUGGAUUCAGUACCAACUCUACUUUUGCAAUGACCUAGAGCUACUGUUCCUCAAGUCUUCCAGUGCUCCAGUUUAGAAAGCCUGGUAUAUGAGGUUGCCAACCAACGAUCUAUUAAAAUAUAUUAAGCAAUCAUUCAUCUCCCAUAUUCACCCAGCUACACAGAUUUGCCUCUUGCUGAGAUCAGAAAGUACUCUUGCUGCAGAACUGUGAAUUACUUUGGAUGGCAGAGUUCUUUGACUGUGUACUCCAUCUUUUCUUAACAAGUUAAAUGAGGCGAUAAGUAGCACAGAAGUUUAGAAUAGGA
rnacentral:lncRNA from 10 species